rnacentral:rRNA from 1 species
GACGAACGCUGGCGGCGUGCCUAAUACAUGCAAGUAGAACGCACAGUUUAUACCGUAGCUUGCUACACCAUAGACUGUGAGUUGCGAACGGGUGAGUAACGCGUAGGUAACCUGCCUGGUAGCGGGGGAUAACUAUUGGAAACGAUAGCUAAUACCGCAUAAUAUUAAUUAUUGCAUGAUAAUUAAUUGAAAGGUGCAAUUGCACCACUACCAGAUGGACCUGCGUUGUAUUAGCUAGUAGGUGAGGUAACGGCUCACCUAGGCGACGAUACAUAGCCGACCUGAGAGGGUGAUCGGCCACACUGGGACUGAGACACGGCCCAGACUCUUACGGGAGGCAGCAGUAGGGAAUCUUCGGCAAUGGACGAAAGUCUGACCGAGCAACGCCGCGUGAGUGAAGAAGGUUUUCGGAUCGUAAAGCUCUGUUGUAAGAGAAGAACGGGUGUGAGAGUGGAAAGUUCACACUGUGACGGUAUCUUACCAGAAAGGGACGGCUAACUACGUG